UAUUAUUAUUUUUAUUUUUAUUAUUAUCAUUAUUUUAAAUAUUAAUACAAAUUUUAUUUACUAGAGAUUACAUCUACAAGAAGAUUAAUUUAAUUGGGCUGCCGCGAAAAUGUACGAUUAAGUUCCUAUUACGAUGAUAUCUAAACGAGAAUUAGUUAGAAACAUUUUUAUUCCAGUCAAAUAAAAUAUGCAGCUCUCGUGUGGCCCGCCUUACGAAUGCAACGUCCUCGAAUCCUCCUUUUUCUUUUUUUGAAAAUUAUGAAAGAAUGAGGCCGUACAAAAUGUGUCGACCAGCGUAUGAAAAAAAUAUAAUUGCCGAAAAAUGAAAUGAAAAAAAAUCAUAGAAACGAGGACGGAUGACGGAUAAUUAGAAUUAGAUCGUAACGGAUGUCCGAGACCUUACGAGAGUCCCAUCGUGACCGCAAAACCUAGGAACAGAUGGAAAGAAGAACACACGACACUGUACAUUGUAAAUAUUAGCGCGGAGAAGACGGUUACAGAAAGACAGAGUUAAUUAAUUAAAUGAUAAAAAUGAGAUGAUGCGAAGGAGAGAGCGAGAGAGAGAGAGAGAGUGAGAAAGAAUGAUGUGUGUGUAAGAGAGAGAAAGAGAAAUAGAGCGAGCGAGAGCAUAUGUAUGUAAAAAAUAGAGAGAGAAAGAGAGAGAGAGAGAGAGAGAAAGGAAUGAGAGAAAGAAUGAAUGGAAGUAAGAGAGAGAAAAAAUGAAGAAAAGAUGAAGUUGCAUCGAAAUCGCGCCGGGCGCGUGAAGCGAAUGCACUAUCCGGAGGGAUAUUCGAUUCUAAGGCGAUAAUUUAAAAUAGGAAAUAUGCGAACUGUUCUCUAGAUUUCAGAAACGAUUUCAUCUUCAAAAUCUUCGUUAUGAUUUCGACAAUAGAAAAUUAACUAGUAGCCUGAAAUCGAUGUGUCCCGAUGGAGUACAUUCGCCAUACGAACCGUGUGUGCGGCCAUUUUAAUAGAGCUAGAACAAAUUUUAAGAUGCACGGCUGUAUCUACGGAACAUGUACCGAUCACUCGACUGUAAAUCCGUAUCGUGUCACAAGACUGCAUCUAAAAUAAUAAAUAAUAAUAAUAAUAAAAAAAAAACAAAAAAAUAUAUUAAUAAUGAUCUAAUAAAAAUAAAUAAAAAGA